UGCACGGAAGGCCACGGAGUCCCAAACCAUCGUUUAGCCGGGUCGCCAAGAGCGCUGGCACCAAUCUUCUCUCCAAGCCGCUCGGAACGAAAUCUCCAGAUGUUGAUGAACUACUUACUAUACCCUCCACCAGUUGUAGACAACAGGGCCAAUAAUGAAACAUGGUGGGAGCUGCAGUUCAGCAAGAUCUGGAAGGGUACAGACUGAGCAUCUCAGUGUACUGAAAAAGGGCAGGUUAAAAAGCCGAGGAAACAGAAAUGUGGUUCCUUGCCUCAUGGAUGUCACACCUCUGCUUGGCUGUCCUUCUGAAAGUAGGCCCCAAAUUUUGAACUUCCAUUCAGGCACGUCACGUAUCUGUCCCAGAAGUUCCUCCUCCAGGCCCCAGUCUCAAAGAAUUGGUUGUCAGCUUGUCUUCUUCCUAUCAAGAUUCCUGCGAUUCAGAGAAAUUCAAGUGGAGAGUUUUUCUUGUCAGGGGUGUAUCAAUUUUUAUCAGAGGAAUUUCCACAUGCAGCGUAACGGUUGAAGAAGAAAAAUGUUGAUCUGUUCUCCUUCCACGCAAAGACACAGAUUAAUCUGUGUUGUCCAGAUAAUAAAAAUUUCAGCAAACAGGA